GCGAUCCCACGGGAGCCCUCGCAGGGGCUGAGAUCGGGCUGACGCGGCCCGGACCGUCGAACCUGACCGGGUCAUGCCGGCGUAGGAAGUUGGAGCAGCAUGUCG
rnacentral:ncRNA from 2 species